rnacentral:rRNA from 1 species
UACAGAGGGUGCAAGCGUUAAUCGGAGUUACUGGGCGUAAAGCGUGCGUAGACGGUUACAUAAGUCGGAUGUGAAAGCCCCGGGCUCAACCUGGGAAUGGCAUUCGAGACUGCGUAGCUAGGGUGCGGAAGAGGGAAGCGGAAUUUCCGGUGUAGCGGUGAAAUGCGUAGAUAUCGGGAGGAACACCAGUGGCGAAGGCGGCUACCUGGCACACAACUGACGCUGAGACGCGAAAGCGUGGGGAGCGAACCGG